rnacentral:rRNA from 1 species
GCCUUUCGUUGCAACAUAUAUUUAUGCCUAGUCAAGAUGAGGGGUCGUGCCUGCCCAAUGACAUAAUGUUAAAUGGCUGCGGUACCCUGACCGUAUAAAAGUAGCAUAAUCAUUUGCCUUUUAAUUGAAGGCUUGUAUGAACGGUUUGACGAGAGCUUAACUGUCUCCUCUAAAAUAUUUAGAAUUUAACUUGUAGAUGAAGAGGUCUACAUUUUAUUGAGGGACAAGAAGACCCCGUUGAGCUUUAGUUAAGUAAUAAAUUGACAAAUUAAUUUAUGCGUUUUAAAUCUACGCUGGAAGUUGAUUUAUUAGUAAAUCUUUAGUUUGGGGCAGUGAGGGAAUAAGAGUACUUUCCCUAAUCAUAAGGUAAUUGGCUACCUUGAGUUCUGUGAACAAACUUAAAUAUGAUCCAGUCAUUACUGAUCAGUGGAAAAAGUUACCACGGGGAUAACAGCGUAAUCUUUCUAGAGAGCUCUAAUCAAAGGAAAGGAUUGCGACCUCGAUGUUGGACUAAGGUAUCCGGAAGGCGUAGAAGCUUUCAAUGGUUGGUCUGUUCGACCAUUAAAACCUUACA